GAUGAACGCUGGCGGCGUGCUUAAUACAUGCAAGUCGAACGAACAUUAAGAGUGCUUGCACUUUUAAUGUUAGUGGCGAACGGGUGAGUAAUACAUAGGCAACUUGCCCCAAGGACUGGGAUAACACUUAGAAAUGAGUGCUAAUACCGGAUAGGUAAUACAAAGGCAUCUUAGUAUUAUUAAAGUUGGGUAUCCAACACCAUGGGAUGGGCUUAUGCUGUAUUAGCUAGUUGGUGAGAUAAAAGCCCACCAAGGCGAUGAUACAUAGCCGGACUGAGAGGUUGGCCGGCCACAUUGGGACUGAGACACGGCCCAG
rnacentral:rRNA from 1 species